UGCCGGAUCGUCUAACGGUAGGACGACAGACUUUGGAUCUGUCUAUUCAGGUUCGAAUCCUGGUCCGGCAG
rnacentral:tRNA from 1 species